CAGCUAUGACCUUCCUCUGGCUCUCAGCUUCUCUCUUUUGAUGCUCAAGAGGUGUAAGAUUGUCACAGCCACAGCAGGGAAGAAAAACAGGCUUCUCUGUGCUCUUAUUGAUGAACUGAGGAGGCCCUUCUCAAGCCUGGCCUCCAGCUCUGGCCUCCAGGCCCUGGGAGGGGCAUUAAACACACGGCCCACCCACCCUGGCUUCAGACUCUCACAGCUUCUGUCGUCACACACUUGCCACUACACCUUCCCCUCUGGCCUCAUAAGGACCUUCAAAGUAAAUCACGGAAGGAAUCCUUAGCCUGUUUUCUUUGGAUGUGGAUAUGGAAAUUCAGCUAGAAGUUGGGGGACCCAGAACUUAGCCUGGGGACUGGUGAUUCUCUCCAGAGCCCUCGGAGCCAGAGCGGCCAGGUGCCAGGUGUGGCUGCUCAACCCCUAGGUUUUCAGUGUCCUUCUUCGGGGCCACUGUCCCUCCAGGCAGUAUGCACAGUGGUUAGGAGCCUCACUAAGAAGAGGGGCUGUGACACCUCUGGAGGUUAAUGGACGUGACAUGCAGAAUGCACCUGGAACACACCUGGCCCUAGAGAGUGCUCCACAGUGGCCUCUGCUCCCUAGCCACCAUUCUCUGUGGCGCUUUAAAAUCCGCCUGCAGGGUGAUCUCAUGUGCUGCCCUCACCGCUGGCCGGUAGGACUUACAGGAAGGAAUCAGGCCGAACCUCUGGAGUGGCACUUUUAUUCUAAGACCACUUCCAGGGAUGAAGGAGGAAAGACGUAGUCAUCUGCUUGCCCCAGCUCACAGCCGGACGCUGCGGCUUUUGGGUAAGAUCUUAAGCAGUUUUCUUAAGGUCUGGCUUUGAGCUUCUGCCCAGCUCCAUUCCUCUGUGUCAGAAGAGUUUAAUGAGUAAGAGGGUGGUCGCUGAGAGACGCAAAGAGUCUCAGGAGAAAACGUGGCCCAGAAAUAAAGGCACGCCCGUGGUCACACAGAAAAUGGGAACAAAUGCGCAGUCUCCCACCUCCCGAACCUCCAAAG
rnacentral:lncRNA from 1 species